UUAACUCAAAGCAAUCACAAGACACCCAUCCUUGCCUGCUGCUUCCUGGGCUGCUACUUGUAUCUUCAUUCCUUACUGCUUCUCUAGCCAUUUGAAUCAUCUUUUUAAACUGCCUUCUGCUCCUAAAAUGAUCACUCUGUCAUCUGGGAAAGGCUAAACAUGUAAAAGCAUUUUCAUUUCUGUAGCAUUCACUUUCAUUUACUCUCUUCUUUCUAUUCAAGUCAAGCAGCACAGAGUGCUGUAUAAAUAGCAAAGUCUGUACCACAUCCAGUUUUGAAGUAUUUUUAAAAUACAGUAUUGAAAAAAGAAGAGACAAACUGCAAGGCAAAUGCUAAGCUGCUCCUGAGCCUGAUGACGAUGUAGGUAUUUUGUCUUGGUUACCUGAGCAAUCUCCAGAAGCUUGAAUGGAUUACAAUAAUAUUCUAACAAGGCUGCAGGCAUCCUCAACAGCUUUCAUCUACAGAAGAAGAUAAGAGAUGGAAGAAUGUAAUUAUUUCCAUGUAAGCUAAAUUCCAGUAGCUGACUGCCAUGAUAGGGAAAGCCCUGAAAACUUUGCUGUCUUAAAUGUUUUCAUCUCAUAUAAAACAAAUAGGUCAGCUCUUCUCUUUAAAUAUUGUCACUGAAGCUCUUCUAAAGUGCAAAAAUUCGCCAAGGUUUCCUGCAGGGCAACUGAACAUACAAGUGUGGAGAAGUGGAAGUAGGAGAGAGACAGAAACCAAAACCUCUGGAUCUUCGUCUUCUCGGUGCUGCUACUGCUGAGGCUGUGGUGAAGUCCCUCUGACACCACAUAUCUGGGAAUGAAGAACUUCUCAGAGCUGAUUGGAAAUGGCAUUGCUGUGCUGAAACUUAACUGGAGGAAAUACAUCUCCCGAAGAAGAAAAUAUAAUGCACUUUAAGGAUCUGACUUCUGGUGAAAAAUUCAAGCCUAGAGAAAACUUGUCCGCUUUAUUAAGAAGAAUGGGUUGGACAAUCUUCUUCAAUUCCAAAGGAUAUCUGAACGCCAUGCUGAGCUUAAUCUCUGCAGCAUGCUCUGUGCUUCUCUUCUCCUCCUGAUGCACUGCAUGGUUAGCCUGAGGAGAAGGAUAAAGAAACUGGCUACCAAGAUGGUAAUCACUAGUGGAAAUGAAGAAGAUAAAGGCAAUCAAGAAAAGGAGAGCAAAGAAGAAACCAUCCUGGCAAUGCUUGGGAUUAUUGGAACAAUUCUGAACCUCAUUGUGAUCAUUUUUGUGUACAUUUACACAACAUUGUGAGCCAGAAGGCACACGACAAGAACCGACGAAACGGCUGCUAAAGGUGACAACAAACAUUGUAGGGUAUUGACAUGUUGCUUAAUCAGCAUUGAUUCUGUACUAUAUUACCACAUCAUAAAAACACUGCCUGCAGGCAGCAAAAGCUGAAGCACAAUUAAUUUAACAAGACUUUUUCAUGCGGUAACAAGCUCCUUUCCCUUUUUAUUUGGGUUUGGUUUGGGGGGAAAUGACUGCAAUUAUGUAAGUAGCAGCUUUGAAGAACUCAAUCUGGGAUACAAACACAAUAGAGACUGUACACUAUUUAGAAUUACUAAUGUAUACCAUAUACUCUGAAAGAUAGCUAGAUAGCACCGAUUUUGUGUCCAUUAGGUCAAAUAAUUUUUUUUCUCCUUGACUUUUCAAUUUUAUUUACAUUGAAACUGACAGGCUUUUUAUUUAGAAUGAACAUAUGGUGCAAUCAUGGAAAAACAAUUCCGUUGAGCAAGAUCUGCCUAAAAACAAUGAAAUAUUGGGGGAAAUAAGUGACAUGAUUAUUUUUUCUUUCUCAUUUGCUUGACAUUUGUGUCUGUUCAAACCAAUGUUUAUAAAUAUAUAUUUUUAAUAAAUGUGCUAUAUUUUUAGCAUGAACCAAAUAUUUGGAGACAAUCUGUGCAGCCUGUUUUGUCUGAUGAAGUGCCCUUUGUUGACUAUGGAUGGGAUGCUCUUCAGCAGUUAUAUACCAAUCUUGUUCGCAGCCAUUUCAUUGUAGUCUGGAACAAACUUACAUCAUGCUUGACUUAAAGUUGGAAUGUCAGCUGAAAAGCAUUGCUUUUUAAUACAGGAGAUAGAAAAACAUUAUAAGGUGACCUUUAUAGACUGGUUGCAGGGACAUGGCUCUAUUUAUAGAACAACAGCAAAUGAAAAGAAUAUUAAGGCAUCUCACAUGACAUUCGAAAACUCAUCAGAUAUAUGGCUCUUUAAACCCCCAUCCCAUUCGAUAAGUACCUAUCGAAGAUUUCUGAUAGUAGGGGGCUCUUUAAUUGAGCGGAUAGGCAUAACAAGAUCUAGUGGCUGGAGCUGAAGCUAGACAAAUUCAGACUAGAAAGAAGGUGUACAUCUUUAUAUCUUUCUUUAAAACAUGCUUUAACUUAACAAGAAGUUGUGGACUUGAUGCUGGAAUCACUGGGUGGAAGUCUAUGGCCUCUGUUUUGCAGGAGAUCUGACUAGAUGACCAUAACAUUCUCUUCUGACUAUAAUAUCUAUGAAUCUCUGAGUCAUUAAAAAUUACAUCCCAGUUCUGUCCUCAGAUGGCCAGGGACCACAGCCAUUGACUUCAGCGUACAUGUCUGUCUGAGGAGGUAAUUGGCCCCUUAAUUAGUUGGACAGAACAUUUCUUACUAAAUUAGAGAUCAAGUUGUGUCAUCAGAGACACAUGUAGAACCCACAUUUAAAUCAAUGGGAGUUAUGUGAGCUCAUCUAGGGUGUAGACUAAAGCCAUCCAUAGUCAAUGGAAAGGCUCCCACUGACAUCAGUGGGCUUUGGAUUAGGACCCUAAUUCUAGAUCCUGCUCCACUGAAAUAAAUGACAAAACUGCCAUUGAUUUCAUGGUGCAGGAUCUGGCCUUAAGAAGGCAGAACUUCACCCUGCACCAGAAGGGCCUGGCCCCAGAAGGCACUCAGCAAUACCUCCCAGAAGGGACGUACUCACUAUCUUGAGAGAUCAGGCACUAACAGACAAACAUAUUAGGAAUAAGGAAAAGGUCAGUGAAUAAAAUUAAAUGAAAGCCAACACAAUGUGAAAGGGCAGAGAGAAUUGCAUGAUAAUGAUAAAGUGACAGGCCAAUGAGGCCUUGAAGGAGUGAGCACAUGAGCAGAGGUCUGAGUAGAAAUAGGACAGAAUAGGAAGGGGGCUUGCACAAUUAGGGGAGUAGAAGGGAUAAUUCAUCCAUGCUU